rnacentral:rRNA from 1 species
AUGGUGCUGUUUCCUUUCCUUGGUGCAUUCGUCUUGGCAGCCACAGCAGUUCAUGUCGCCGGUCAGCAAGAAGGUUUUCUGAGCAUCGACUGCGGCCUGGAUGCCAGAUUCAGCAGGCGCAAGGACACCUACACAAACAUCGCCUACAUCUCUGACAGUCCGUACGUGGACGGCGGGGAGAACCACAGGGUGGCCGCCGACCAGGAGAGCUCUACUAACGACGUCUCCCUGCUAACGCUGAGGAGCUUCCCGUCCGGCCUACGGAAUUGCUACACGCUCCCCACGGAGAGCGGUGCCAAAUAUCUGGUCCGGAUGGAGUUCUUCCACGGCAGAUACGACGGCAAGAGCAGCCCCUUGUCGCUGCAGUUCGACCUGCACCUGGGCACCAACUACUGGGACACGGUCACGCUCCAAGACACGACCGACGACUGGUGGUCCGAGGCAAUAUUCGUCGCGUGGUCCAGCUGGGUGCCGGUGUGCCUGCUGAAUACCGGCACCGGCACGCCGUUCGUCAACACGGUGGAGUUGAGGCCGCUCGGGGCCUCGCUUUACCCGGACGUCACCAUCGACGAGUCCAUAUCCAUGUAUCGAAGGGCGAAUAUGGGGGGAAAUUUUACCCUGUUUCCCGACGAUCCAUAUGACCGCUACUGGGGUUCGGAAACCAGCUCAUCAUGGGCAAACCUUUCCACCAAAAAGCACAUCCAGCAGGACGACAACAGCGUCGCGGUACCCGUCCUUGUUCUUCAGGCAGCCGUCAGUACUAUAAACAAUGUCAUCGUACUAAACGUUGGUACAUGGAGAGUGUACAAAAGGUCGUUCGAGUUUAAGUUCUUCCUACACUUUACCGAUAUCCAAAACACCCAGCUCCGGCGGUUCGAUCUCUAUGUGAACGACGAACAGUGGUUGCAGACAUACAGCCCCCCGUACCUGGACAUUUCUUAUAUCUAUUCUUCUGCCUGGAAUAAGACUACAGACGGCAAGUACAAUAUCACUCUUGCAGCCAGCCCUACAUCCGUGCUGCUUCCGAUGAUCAAUGCAUACGAGGUUUACAACAACAUCCCCCACGAUACUCCGAGGACGUCCACCAAAGACUUUGACACAAUGAUGGCUAUCAAACUCGAGUACGGAGUGAAAAAGAACUGGAUGGGUGAUCCAUGUUUUCCGGCCAAAUAUCGAUGGAAUGGUGUCAAUUGUAGCGACUUAACUAAUAACAUUACGAGGAUAAUAUCUCUGGAUCUAUCCAAUAGUAACUUGACUGGAUUGGUAUCUGAUAACUUCACGUUGCUCACAGAACUCCAACUUUUGGAUUUGUCCCGCAACAAUCUGAAUGGUCCAAUUCCGUAUUCCCUCUGUAAAAGGAACGCAAGAUCACUCGUUGUCAGGUAUGAAUCUGAAGAAGAUAUGUGCAAAAAACAAUAA